rnacentral:rRNA from 1 species
GCUCUGUUGUAGGGGAAGAACGUGUGUAAGAGUGGAAAGCUUACACAGUGACGGUACCCUACCAGAAAGGGACGGCUAACUACGUGCCAGCAGCCGCGGUAAUACGUAGGUCCCGAGCGUUGUCCGGAUUUAUUGGGCGUAAAGGGAGCGCAGGCGGUUUAGUAAGUCUGAAGUUAAAGGCAUUGGCUCAACCAAUGUAUGCUUUGGAAACUGUUAGACUUGAGUGCAGAAGGGGAGAGUGGAAUUCCAUGUGUAGCGGUGAAAUGCGUAGAUAUAUGGAGGAACACCGGUGGCGAAAGCGGCUCUCUGGUCUGUCACUGACGCUGAGGCUCGAAAGCGUGGGUAGCGAACAGGAUUAGAUACCCUGGUAGUCCACGCCGUAAACGCUGAGUGCUAGGUGUUAGGUCCUUUCCGGGACUUAGUGCCGACGCUAACGCAUUAAGCACUCCGCCUGGGGAGUACGACCGCAAGGUUGAAACUCAAAGGAAUUGACGGGGGCCCGCACAAGCGGUGGAGCAUGUGGUUUAAUUCGAAGCAACGCGAAGAACCUUACCAGGUCUUGACAUCCCGAUGCCCGCUCUAGAGAUAGAGUUUUUCUUCGGAACAUCGGAGACAGGUGGUGCAUGGUUGUCGUCAGCUCGUGUCGUGAGAUGUUGGGUUAAGUCCCGCAACGAGCGCAACCCUUAUUGUUAGUUGCCAUCAUUAAGUUGGGCACUCUAGCGAGACUGCCGGUAAUAAACCGGAGGAAGGUGGGGAU